rnacentral:miRNA from 1 species
UACCUGCCAUUGGAGAUCCGC